rnacentral:rRNA from 1 species
AGCGAACGCUGGCGGCAGGCCUAACACAUGCAAGUCGAACGGACCCUUCGGGGUUAGUGGCGGACGGGUGAGUAACACGUGGGAACGUGCCUUUAGGUUCGGAAUAGCUCCUGGAAACGGGUGGUAAUGCCGAAUGUGCCCUUCGGGGGAAAGAUUUAUCGCCUUUAGAGCGGCCCGCGUCUGAUUAGCUAGUUGGUGAGGUAACGGCUCACCAAGGCGACGAUCAGUAGCUGGUCUGAGAGGAUGACCAGCCACACUGGGACUGAGACACGGCCCAGACUCCUACGGGAGGCAGCAGUGGGGAAUCUUGCGCAAUGGGCGAAAGCCUGACGCAGCCAUGCCGCGUGAAUGAUGAAGGUCUUAGGAUUGUAAAACUCUAGUCCUUGGUGAAGAAAGGACGGUAGCCAAGGAGGAAGCCCGGCUAACUACGUG